CCUACGGGAGGCAGCAGUGAGGAAUAUUGGUCAAUGGACGAGAGUCUGAACCAGCCAAGUAGCGUGAAGGAUGACUGCCCUAUGGGUUGUAAACUUCUUUUAUAUGGGAAUAAAACGUUCCACGUGUGGGAUUUUGUAUGUACCAUAUGAAUAAGGAUCGGCUAACUCCGUGCCAGCAGCCGCGGUAAUACGGAGGAUCCGAGCGUUAUCCGGAUUUAUUGGGUUGAAAGGGAGCGUAGGUGGAUUGUUAAGUCAGUUGUGAAAGUUUGCGGCUCAACCGUAAAAUUGCAGUUGAAACUGGCAGUCUUGAGUACAGUAGAGGUGGGCGGAAUGCGUGGUGUAGCGGUGAAAUGCUUAGAUAUCACGAAGAACUCCGAUUGCGAAGGCAGUUCACUGGACUGCAACUGACACUGAGGCUCGAAAGUGUGGGUAUCAAACAGGAUUAGAUACCCGGGUAGUC
rnacentral:rRNA from 1 species